ensembl:misc_RNA Metazoa_SRP Metazoan signal recognition particle RNA
GCCAGGCGCGGUGGCUCACGCCUGUAAUCCCAACACUUUGGGAGGCUGAGGUGGGUGGAUCACCUGAGGUCAGGAGUUCGAGACCAGCCUGACCAACAUGGUGAAACCCCGUCUCUA